ACGCGUGGGUAACCUGCCCUGUACACACGGAUAACAUACCGAAAGGUAUGCUAAUACGAGAUAAAGUACUUUUAUCGCAUGGUAGAAGUAUCAAAGCUUUUGCGGUACAGGAUGGACCCGCGUCUGAUUAGCUAGUUGGUAAGGUAACGGCUUACCAAGGCGACGAUCAGUAGCCGACCUGAGAGGGUGAUCGGCCACAUUGGAACUGAGACACGGUCCAAACUCCUACGGGAGGCAGCAGUGGGGAAUAUUGCACAAUGGGCGAAAGCCUGAUGCAGCAACGCCGCGUGAGCGAUGAAGGCCUUCGGGUCGUAAAGCUCUGUCCUCAAGGAAGAUAAUGACGGUACUUGAGGAGGAAGCCCCGGCUAACUACGUGCCAGCAGCCGCGGUAAUACGUAGGGGGCUAGCGUUAUCCGGAAUUACUGGGCGUAAAGGGUGCGUAGGUGGUUUCUUAAGUCAGAGGUGAAAGGCUACGGCUCAACCGUAGUAAGCCUUUGAAACUGGGGAACUUGAGUGCAGGAGAGGAGAGUGGAAUUCCUAGUGUAGCGGUGAAAUGCGUAGAUAUUAGGAGGAACACCAGUUGCGAAGGCGGCUCUCUGGACUGUAACUGACACUGAGGCACGAAAGCGUGGGGAGCAAACAGGAUUAGAUACCCUGGUAGU
rnacentral:rRNA from 1 species